CAACCCUGACGCAGCCACGCCGCGUGCCGGAAGACGGCCCUAUGGGUUGUAAACGGCUUUUACCAGGGAAGAACCCGGGCCUUUCGAGGCCCGCUGACGGUACCUGGGGAAUCAGCACCGGCUAACUCCGUGCCAGCAGCCGCGGUAAUACGGAGGGUGCGAGCGUUAAUCGGAAUUACUGGGCGUAAAGCGCGCGUAGGUGGCUUGAUAAGCCGGUUGUGAAAGCCCCGGGCUCAACCUGGGAACGGCAUCCGGAACUGUCAGGCUAGAGUGCAGGAGAGGAAGGUAGAAUUCCCGGUGUAGCGGUGAAAUGCGUAGAGAUCGGGAGGAAUACCAGUGGCGAAGGCGGCCUUCUGGACUGACACUGACACUGAGGUGCGAAAGUGUGGGUAGCAAACAGGAUUAGAUACCCUGGUAGUCCACGCCGUAAACGAUGUCGACUAGCCGUUGGGUUCCUCGAGGACUUAGUGGCGCAGUUAACGCGAUAAGUCGACCGCCUGGGGAGUACGGCCGCAAGGUUA
rnacentral:rRNA from 1 species